rnacentral:rRNA from 1 species
AGGGAGGGGGCUGUGGCCCAUCAGCUUGUUGGUAGGGUAACGGCCUACCAAGCCGACGACGGGUAGCCGGUCUGAGAGGAUGGCCGGCCACAAGGGCACUGAGAGACGGGCCCUACUCCUACGGGAGGCAGCAGUGGGGGAUUUUGGACAAUGGGCGAAAGCCUGAUCCAGCGACGCCGCGUGGAGGACGAAGCCCUUCGGGGUGUAAACUCCUUUUCUCAGGGAAAAAGGAUGAUGGUACCUGAGGAAUAAGCCCCGGCUAACUACGUGCCAGCAGCCGCGGUAAUACGUAGGGGGCGAGCGUUACCCGGAAUUACUGGGCGUAAAGGGUGCGUAGGCGGCCUUGCAAGUCCGGUGUUAAAAGCCCUGGCUCAACUAGGGAGAUGCGCUGGAAACUGUGAGGCUUGGGUGCAGCAGAGGCAGAUGGAACUGCUGGUGUAGGGGUGAAAUCCGUAGAUAUCAGCAGGAACGCCGGUGGAGAAGUCGGUCUGCUGGGCUGCGACCGACGCUGAGGCACGAAAGCUAGGGGAGCGAACCGGAUUAGAUACCCGGGUAGUCCUAGCCGUAAACGAUGCUCACUUGGUGUGGGGGCAUAGAGCCUCUGUGCUGAAGCGAACGCGUUAAGUGAGCCGCCUGGGGAGUAUGCCCGCAAGGGUGAAACUCAAAGGAAUUGACGGGGGCCCGCACAAGCAGUGGAGCGUGUGGUUUAAUUGGAAGCUAAGCCAAGAACCUUACCAGGGUUUGACAUGCUGGUGGUACGGACUCGAAAGAGGAAGGACCUUAUCGAAAGAUGAGGAGCCAGCACAGGUGGUGCACGGUCGUCGUCAGCUCGUGCCGUGAGGUGUUGGGUUAAGUCCCGCAACGAGCGCAACCCCUACUCUUAGUUACCAGCACGAAAGGUGGGGACUCUAAGAGGACCGCCGGCGACGAGCCGGAGGAAGGAGGGGAUGACGUCAGAUACUCGUGCCCCUUAUGCUCUGGGCGACACACGCGCUACAAUGGUAUGGACAACGGGAAGCCAGGUAGCGAUACUGAGCAAAACCCUAAAACCAUACCGCAGUUCAGAUUGUGGGCUGAAACCCGCCCACAUGAAGCUGGAAUUGCUAGUAAUCGCGGAUCAGCCACGCCGCGGUGAAUACGUUCCCGGGCCU